ACUAUCCCUACACUGAUCCUUAUUCACACUAUGCUCACCAUAAAUAUUUAUGACUGAUUCUGAUCACGAAUUAAGGAGCGCGGUGUGUUAGCUAACGUUACGUUUAUAAAACACAGUGGCACACACCUCCCCGGUAGCGACACUUCAUUAUUCGCUACCUGCCUCUGGUUUUUGUUUGUUGUUGCAGUCAGACCUCAAACAAAUCACUGAUGUUGUAGAACAAGAUUGAAGAGUGGUGUUGUUUCACUGCUUGUUAAGAAGCAGGCGGACAGUGGAGGCGUUUCUAAAGGGGUGAAUGCAGUCAAGCUCUCCUGAAACACUGGGGUUGUCGGUGCGGCGGACUUUUUCCUGGAUCUGACCGGUAAAUUCAGAAGACUGAAGCCCAGGCUCACAGUCUACCUUUCACGGAGGCCCAGCCGUGAGAGGACAGAGGAAGGCACGUGGCGAAUCAUGACCGCCGACAAGGACAAGGACAAGGAGCGGGACCGCGACAGGGACCGCGACCGGGACAGAGACAGAGAGCGCGAGAGGGACAAGGGACGU